GAGGCCAGGAAGGCUGCCGGGGAGGUGGAAGACGAGGGUACCGAAGAGCUGGGGGCCGACGCGGAGACCCAACCCAGCAGCACUAGCGCCAGCCUUGCCAACCUCAGCCGUCCGUCCCCGGCGGAGGGGCCCCGGGAGCCCGCCCCAGGCAUCGCGGCUCGCGGUUCCCCGGAGCUGGGACAGCGCCCGCUCCGAAGACUCGACCGCCUGGGCCCGGCGGGCGCGAGCCGGCCGCAAGCGUCGACGGCAAACUUUCCUCGCGUGGGAGCAGAGGAGGGGACGCCAAAAGCUGGAACUUGGCUAACCCCGAGCCACCGGGCGUCCCCCUCCCGGAGCGGCACCCCGCCCUUCCCUCCAGUGAGUACGCACGGCGGGUCGGGACACGGGCCUUGGCGCUCCUCCUCCCGCCGCAGCUGGGGUGGGUGGCACCUCCUCAACUCCUUUGUUGGCGCCUCUCUCAGGGCAGGAUCGGAUGAGCGACCUGGGACAAGCGGGAGAGAAGCGUGAGGAGGAGUGACGGCCGCAGCUCCCCGAGUACGAACCAAGUAGUCCCCACACUAGCAACCCGGCCCAAGCUUCUGUGUGCGUCCUUCCUCCCUAGUGGGACGCGGUCCCCACUCCCAGGCGCUAAGCCUACCUCUUCCGGGCCCACACCAUCAGGACCCGGGCCACCUCCCGCCUGGCUCCUGCCCGGAUUGCCCUCCUCCCGCCUAGAACUUCACGCAGACCCCGCGGUGUCCAGCGAGCAAACUUCUCCUUUUUCCGGAUCCCAGCUCCUACCGCCCCGGCCGACCACCUGCCUUCCGGGGUCCCCGCCCCCGCCGCUCCUCCCCCUCCCACCUUGGGAUGAGAGCGAAGUUUCGGGUUACGGGACUCUUAAGAGCUUUUUUUUUUUUUUGGUACCUCCUUGGAUUAGUGUGAAAAGGGGAGCAGAGCCGUACAGCUGUCGCCUACUCUCGACUCCCCAGUUCCUGGCCACCCAGCUCCCCGAUCCCGAGAGGAUCCAGACAUCUCCAGAAAAACGGAGGGAACCCGCCAACAAAGCGGCCGUGGGACCGUGGGCGGUGUGGCAGCCAGGACCCCCCCCCCCCCGGCUCUCUUCACGCCCUAGUAUAGAAAGGAACCCUGGUCCCGCCUCCAGGCUCCAAACCUGGCCGCUCGGUCCCCACUGCUCACCUCCGCACCCCGCGCCUGCAAAGCCAACUCCGAGGGCCACCCGAGUCCACGCGCCUUCCCAGCUCCUGCUGCGGGCGCCGACUCUCCUCUCAACCCCAGCCCCUGGCCCAACCUCCACGGCUGGGAAAAACCAAGCCGGGGGGCGGGGGAGGGCCAGGGCUGCAGGAGAGAUCGCCGCCGCGCUGGCCACCUCUGCUGCCCCAGGUGGAAGCAGAAGGAGCAGAAGUUCCAGCUCACCUUCGGCUACGAGAUGACUUUGAGAUGACCUGGAGAAAGACCCUGUCUUGAAACAAUCCCAGAAAGAAGAGCAGGCUGAGCCAUUGUCAAGCCAGCUCAUCAGACAGAUCACUGGAAGAAAAAAACCUGACAAGACGCCGCAAGAAAAGGAAACCACAGAGCGCGACCACGUAUGAUUGUAGAUGUAACAUCCUUCCGCUAAAUUAAACCUAAUCAAACCCAGAGACAAGCAAAAAUGACUGUAAUCCAUGACUACGCAGGAUUCACAUCUAGGAAUACAAGGAUGCUUAAAUGAAAAGAAAUUGACUGUGGCAAUACAAAUUACCAAUGGAAACAAAAGAAAACAAACAAACAGACAGAAACAAAAUAUGGCCAUACCAUCUGAUGUGGUAGAGUAUUUAGCAAUAUUCACCAUCCAGUCUGAUAAAAGAAAACACCCUGCCUAAUAUAAAUGAAAGAAGUCCCUAUUCUGGUUAAGAGUACCAGAAACCAAACUAAUACCACAAAGAGCACACCUACAAUGGCAUGUAAUGGCAGGAGAUAUGAUUUCCUGUUAUACUGAUGAUGCACAGGGGAGAAUAUGCUGCAGCCUUAAACAUUCAUAAAAUGAAGAGUUAUAUUUUUAAUUUCUUGUGAUUUUUUUAUAUAAUAAAAAGUCACAUUGUCAGAGAAUAGAGUUGGUCUGUCUCCUCCUGCCUAGUCUGACUGCCUCAUGUUCUUGCCUGAUUGUCUUAUGUGGCAUGCCCAAUACAAUCUUGAAAAAAAGCUAGGUAAGAGCAGACAUCCUUGUUUUGGUAUUUACUAUCAUGUGAAACCAUUCUGUCUUUAAGCAUUAAAUGUUAUCUUAGCUGUGGAGUUUUACUUCUUGCUGCUAUUACUGUUUUUUUAUAUCUCAAUUUAAUAGAAUUUCAUUGACACACU
rnacentral:lncRNA from 1 species